UCAGUCACAUACUCAUCCCAUAUAAAAUGUAAAUUUAAAAGCUGUUUUAACCGCUGUUUUAAGAUGAAAAGGACAGUUGUGAAUUUUACUCUGAAGAAGUGACGUCAGUCGUUUGCGUCAUCACCUGAUGGGAUUGUCCAAUCACAGCCUCGUGAAUGCAGAGUCUGUCUGCCGCAGUCAUGAGAGUAUCGUGUUCCGUACGAGAGACUCUGUUUUCGGGAUAAAUAACUUGCUGAAGUCGACACAACAGUGGUUCCCUGGAGGAGAAGAUGAGUGCGUGGGAAAGCAAAGCCGCGGGCCCGGUGUGGAGGAGUCGAGGCGGAGAAGACAGGCGCACAGUCCCUGAAUUAAGGUGAGGUAACUGCUAAGCUAACUCUCAGAUUUGAAACACGUGUGAACCACUGUGGGAUUAGCACGACAGUUGCUAAAACUAGAAUAAAGCAUCGAGUGCUUUAGCGGAGCUAGUGCAUGUUUAAAUAGGUAUGAACUAAUUAAAUCGAACCGUUUGUUUUCGGUUAGUUUUUUCAUAAAUGUAACUUUUCUCGUUUUUUUUAUUUUUGUAGGAAGCUCUCUGUCUCUUCACAGCUCUGAUGAUGGCCGGCGGAGCGAGGGUGUGAAUAAAGAUGUGCUGUGCUGUUUAAAAUACAUCCUCCAGCUUUACUUUAUCUGAUCUUUUUCAUCAUUGUGUUUUCACAGCCUGAUUCCCGCACACAAUGACGCAGUCACUGCACAUUACGCCGAGACUCGCUGAAAGUCCACAUUUGCAGUGCGGGCUAACGACGCCAUUGUACAUAAGUAUCUGUUCAGGAUUUUUUUAGGAAUUUUGCUGUGGAUCUUCCAACGGUGAUGCAGCAAGUCUAUUUCCGUCUAUUACAGUUUUUCACAAUUGUUAACACACGUUUUUCAAAACAAUAACGGCUUUCUCAAAACUGCACACAGAAAACUGAAAACAUCACACACAAAAUGCUAAACCUGACACUCCCUUUGCAAGAUGACUCUUUGAUAUCAAAUCUCUUACCUGAUCACAAAAUGGAACUCGUGUUUUCAUUUGGUACACACAGCCAUUUUUUCAAAUGACACACACAUACCAUUCAUUGAGAACACACAACUAAGCAUUUGCUUGCACACUACCAAGCAUUUACAGCACACUGAAGUGCAAAACUGAAAACACAAUCAUCAAAAUGGAACACACCAUAUGAAUGACAGUGACUCUGGAGAAUGAGCCAUUUCUCUUUUUUUGUAAAAUGUCUCAGUUUAGGCCUACUUUUUUCAUAGUCAAACAUAAAACAGCACACACAUAUGCAGCAUAAAAAAGUUUAUUUCGGUACACAUAGAGAACAGUACAGUACUGUACACCGGCCUGCUCCCCCCCCUUCACAAAAACUACAGUUUUUCACAAUUGUUAGCACACGAUUUUCAAAACAAUAACGGCUUUCUCAAAACUGCACACAGAAAACUAAAAACCUCACACACAAAAUGCUGAAAGGCCUCGACACUCACGUCGCCACAAGCCUCCUCCAUGGCCUGGAGCAGUGGGACCCGGUCCUGUGGGUUCCGUUCGUAUACCUUCCACCUCCAAGCUGAAAAUAAUUCCUCAAUAGGAUUCAGGAAAGGAGAAUAAGGUGGAAGGUAUAGAACGGAAAAAUGUGGGUGGUCCUGGAACCACUCACGCACUUGAGCAGCCCGGUGGAAGCUCACGUGACCGAUCAGCUGUGGGUCAUCUAUCUGGCCAGGUGGUACCAGCAGGUCAUGCAGGCCAUCCAGGAAUACGAGGAGACGGGCAGCGUUAUAGGCCCCUAGGUGGGCAUGACGGUGCAAGAUCCCAUGGUGAUUCAUUGCAGCACACAGUGUGAUGUUCCCACCACGCUGGCCGGGGGCCUCAACAAUGGCCCGCUGGCCAAUGACGUUUCUGCCCCGUCGCCUCCUCUUCACCAGGUUGAAUCCCACCUCAUCAAUAAAGAUGUACUGGUACAACACAUUAGCUGUGUGAGGCUUUCUACCUCAAUAUUUUUUAUUUUAUUCUAUUGUAUUGUAUUUUAUUGUAUUCAAAUGUACCGGCUGCUAUGACGACUUAAUUUCCCUUCGGGGGUGAACAAAGUAAUCUAUCCAUCUAUCUCUUGGAUCCGCUGACAGAGACAGCAUAAGAAUGCAAGUUACAGUAUGGACACAGAGAGGUCAACACAGUGGGCUACAGUGAGACACUGUAGAAAAGGAACAAUAUUGGAUUACAGGUACAAUACAUGCAUGUGUCAGUGCUGAAUGUUGGUACUUAGAAGCACAAACUCUCGCUGUAACUCCUUCAUGCCUGUGUUUCGUUCAAAUGGGACCCUGAACACUUGUUUCAUCCACAGGGCAGUCCUAUGAAGAAUACGCUCCAAUGUAGAGAGGCUGACGGUCUGGACGUUUCUAAAUGUAGCAUGGUCAGCCAGGAUCCUAGUUUUUAUUUGUCUGAGUGUGAUAGAGUUGUUGUCACGAACCAUAUCUACAGUUUCAGUCUCCUGUUCGGCUGUGUAAAUGAGGUGAAAUUGCUCAACAGACCUGAAUGUUUAGAGAUUUAAGUAUUUGUGUGUUGUAGGUUGAUGCUAUGAGAUUUUACUUGAGAAGUGUGUGCAACAACUAAACAUUGUGUGUAGUGUUUUGACAACAAUGUGAUGUGUAAUUGACAUCAGAGUGUAAAGAAUGAAAGUCAGAGUAUAAUGCAGAUAAGGGAGUGUGAAGUAGUGCCAAAUUGGGUCGAGCGAUUGGUGCAUGAAGUGAAGGUUGUGCAAAUUGUACCGAAUUUUAGCUUUUUGUGUGUUAACAAUUGUGAAAAACUGUAAUAAUAAACUCAUGUUACUCAUGUUGUUUUCCAGCAGCCUGUACUAUGACUUACUAAGACCCACUAUGAGCCAGUAUGAAGGAGCUUCCAGUUCAUCCAUACGGACCUUGCAUCAGCAUUGAGGAGUUCAGGAGUCGGCAGAGAAGAAAGAGGCUGAUUGAAGCGGGACAGAUGACAUGGAUCCAUCCUUCCACAGCCAGGAGCUCACCGACCUGUGUGCCACACUUCAAAUAAUACUAGAAGCUACACUGGAUCUCACAGCUACACACGUCUACACACUUGGGCAGAUUCACACAAAGAACAUAUGACCCAGAGGCUGCAAAGAGACAUUUCAAGCUUCACCUGAUUAGCUUUUCACUGGCUAGGCCAGUUGUGUUUGUGCAAUAUUUGUGCUGUAAGUAAAUAAACCUUUGACUCAA